rnacentral:lncRNA from 1 species
ACAUACUUACCGUUCCGAGAUUUUUAAAAUCAACCUAUAGAAAAAAUAGUUCAACAACAUCAUAAUCUCAUAUUCAAGUAAGCAAGAAUAAUAACUUUUUCUUUUUAUUUGCCUACUAAAAUCUAUGGGGGUCCAUAGGGAUGUCCUACUACGCGUGAACCAACAUCUAACCUUAUCAACUAACAGGUUGUCCCCAUACCC